UACGUAGGGUGCGAGCGUUGUCCGGAAUUACUGGGCGUAAAGAGCUCGUAGGUGGUUUGUCGCGUUGUUCGUGAAAACUCACAGCUCAACUGUGGGCGUGCGGGCGAUACGGGCAGACUGGAGUACUGCAGGGGAGACUGGAAUUCCUGGUGUAGUGGUGAAAUGCGUAGAUAUCGGGAGGAACACCAGUGGCGAAGGCGACUACCUGGCCUGUUCUUGACGCUGAGGCGCGAAGGCUAGGGGAGCAAACGGG
rnacentral:rRNA from 1 species